AUUUCAGUGGACAAAAAUACCCUUAUAUAUCAUGAAUUAAGUUUUAAGGUUAAGGAUAUUUUAAUAAUUUUGAUUUUCAAAAUUAAAAAAAUAAAAAAAGAAACCCUCUAAACUCUUACCCACCUCUCUCAUCCCUCAGAACCCUUUCUCUUUCAUUUCUUUCACUCUCACCUUUUCUCUGUCAUCCUACUCUAGCCCCAAUUGAAAAAAAAUCAAACACUUGUCUUAUUUUAAAAAUUUUCAUUCUCAAAACUGAAAAAAGAAACCCCAAACCCUUACUUACCUCCUUCAUUUCUCUCAACCCUUUCUCCUUCAUCUCUCUCACUCAAACAUUUUCUCUGUCAUCUCUGCACUAGCUCCAACUAAAAAAACACUCAUUAUUAAACAAUUUACUUACUUUUGUAAAGAGUUGAGUCAUUGACAUGUUCACCUUCCGAAAAAAAGUUCAUUCAUAAUCUCUUUAAUUUCAUUAUCUUCACUAUAUAUAUUACAGCCGACUGACACAACUUGCACCAAGACUUAUGAACAUCCUUCCUUUACAUUUUGAGACACCACGUAAUAUUGCUCCGUGGCCAUUUAAUUUUUUUUGGUAGAAAUUCAUUAACUUGUUUUCCUUUACUAAAGAAAAAACAAAUCAAAAUACAAUAAAAUUCUCAANGAUAAAAUCAAACAAUAAAAAUUCUAAACCUUGAAAUUUUAUUUAAAAUUAUAUAAAGAAAAAAUUAGGUGUUUUAAUUUUUUUAUUUAUGUAAGUAUUUUUUUUCUCUAAAUUAUAUUCAAUAAUGAGUGUUUUUUUAGUUGGGGCUAGUGCAAAGAUGAGAGAGAAAAUGUUUGAAUGAGAGAGACGAAGGAGAAAGGGUUUGGUUUUUUUUUUUUUAGUUUUGAGAAUGAAAAUUAUUAAAAUAAGACAAAUGUUUCUGAUUUUUUACAAUUGGGACUAGAGCAGGGAUGACAGAGAAAAAGUAUGAGUGUAAGAGAUGAAAGAGAAAUGGUUGAGAGGAAUGAAAGAGGUGGGUAAGGAUUAGGAGGGUUUCUUUUUUUAUUUUUUUAAUUUUAAGAAUGAAAAUUAUUAAAAUAUCCUUAAUCUUACAACUUAUAAUUCAUGAUAUAAGGGUAUUUUUGUCUACUGAAACCCGGUACACAUUGCUAAAAUGUACCAACUGAAAAACAGGCGUACGCAAGUUAGCAAACCCCU
rnacentral:lncRNA from 1 species